AUAAAACCAAUUUUAAUAUAAACUAAAUAUAUUAAUAAUAUAUAUAAGGGUAGUUAAAUUAAAUAUUAUACAAAAUUUUGAAACAAUAUAAUAUAUAAAAGGUAAUUUUAAAAUAAUAAUUUUGUAAUAAAAACAAAAUAAUUUAAAAUGUAUAAAAAUAAGAGAUGAAAAAAUGAAUUAUACAAACUAAAAUGGAAAAAACUUAAUUGAAAUAAAAAUCAAACUAGAGGGAUAAUUAAUAAAAUAAAAAAAACUAUUGAAAUUGAAAUAAUGACUGAAGCGCAAUGCGCACGAAUGUCCAGGGAUUAAAACUGAAAAUAUUUCAGAUCCCAAAACAUGGCGUUUAGGCGUGGAUUAAAUUGCAAAUACGCGCAAAUUCUAUGACAAAUUUGAAAUGAAGUAAAGUGGAAAUAAGGUCUGCGCGAAGACGAAGGGUGCAAUUUGACCAUUCGAAGUAAAAGGGCGCGGAUCUGGGCCACAAAACGGGUCGGCGCGUAGAUCUUCUUCCUCCAGACGGUACCGUUUCAUGUUCUGCACAAAACAAGGUAAAAACCCUAAAACUAAUAAAAGCAAAUCAAAAUAAAACAAAAACUAAGGUCUAUCCCUUAUUCAUUCGGCCGGAAACUGGAAACUUCACAACCGCUAUUUCGUCUCCAUAUUCAACAGACGGCGUCAGACAAAAGCUUAAUCUGGCCCUAUUUGACCGCAAAUCCACGAGUUUUUCUAGGCUUUAACUUCAAUCCUCAUCUAGGCUUCGAUUACCAUGAAACAAACAAGGAUUUUGAAGCUUCCAAAAAAAGUUAAGUCUCUCCCUUUUACUUAUUUUUUUGCUUUCAUACGUAGUAACAAAGCUUUAAAAAAAAUAGGAGCUGAAUCGAAAAGAAAAUAAAAUCUAAAUCACCUUUUGAAAAACUACUCUCGAGAUGAUUUCUUAUUCAAACUUUUGUAGAUUUGUACUUGUAAAAUAUGUGUGUGUAUUUCUAGAAAAAACCAACCCGAUUUACAUCAUUUUUAUUCGGUUUUAUAGCCGAAAAAAUAAAAUAAAUAAAAGAAAAAAAUACAGAUUAAAAUACAAUUUCAUUGCUGUCAUUUGCUGUUAUUUGUUGUCCACUGCUCCCUUGCUUGUUAGUCUAUUGCAGGUGUGUAUGGCGUGGAGAAACCGUUCGUGGGCGUGAAACGUGGCGCACGUGGCUGAGGCAAUGGCGCGCGUGAAAGCUGGCACCAAGGCAGCAGCGACGCAAGGGGAAAAGGGAACCCUAGGGUUCUGAAAAUAUCAAACUUUCGGGCCCUAGCUGGUUUUUCAUUGGGCCAUUAUAAUUUGAUUUGUGUUUUGGGCUAGGGUAUUAAUUUGGGUAUUGGGUUAGUGAUUUGAAUUUAAUGUUUGGGUUUGGUUUGGUUUAAGACUGAAGAUUUGUAAACGAACAUUGGACUUUUAUUUUUUAUUAUUUUGGUUUUUAAUUUAUGUUUCUGGGUUUAUUGCGGGCCGAGCAAAAAUGGGCCAUUACAUAAAUGAUACUAUCACAAAAGAAAUAUGUAUAUGAUCUAAAUUAAUAACUGAAAUAACAAAAUAUGAUCAAAAGUUAUAUUGUUAAGAUAUUCUUAAAAUAUAAUCAAAAGUUAUAUUGUUAAGAUAUCCUCACAAUAAGAAAAAAAAAUCUAAGAUGAUGGAUUAUGCGAUUGAUUCUGCUGAAACAUCUUCAUUAUAUUUUAAAGUUGUAGUUGGAGUUUGUCAUAUUUUCUUGUUGCCUCUGCUACCCUUACUACUGCUUCUGCUUCCCUCACUACUACCUCCGUUUUUAAGUUGUAACUGGAGUUCAUCAUAUUUUCUUUUAGC
rnacentral:lncRNA from 1 species